UACGGGGGGGUAAGCGUUGUUCGGAAUUACUGGGCGUAAAGGGCUCGUAGGCGGCCAACUAAGUCAGACGUGAAAUCCUCAGCUUAACUGGGGAACUGCGUCUGAUACUGGAUGGCUUGGAUUCGGGAGAGGGAUGCGGAAUUCAGGUGUAGCGGUGAAAUGACGUAGAUAUCUGGAGGAACACCGGUGGCGAAGGCGGCAUCCUGGACCGAUACUGACGCUGAGGAGCGAAAGCCAGGGGAGCAAAGCGGGG
rnacentral:rRNA from 1 species